rnacentral:rRNA from 1 species
CCUACGUGAGGCAGCAGUAGGGAAUCUUCCACAAUGGGCGAAAGCCUGAUGGAGCAACGCCGCGUGGGUGAAGAAGGUCUUCGGAUCGUAAAACCCUGUUGUUAGAGAAGAAAGUGCGUGAGAGUAACUGUUCACGUUUCGACGGUAUCUAACCAGAAAGCCACGGCUAACUACGUGCCAGCAGCCGCGGUAAUACGUAGGUGGCAAGCGUUAUCCGGAUUUAUUGGGCGUAAGGGGAACGCAGGCGGUCUUUUAAGUCUGAUGUGAAAGCCUUCGGCUUAACCGGAGUAGUGCAUUGGAAACUGGGAGACUUGAGUGCAGAAGAGGAGAGUGGAACUCCAUGUGUAGCGGUGAAAUGCGUAGAUAUAUGGAAGAACACCAGUGGCGAAAGCGGCUCUCUGGUCUGUAACUGACGCUGAGGUUCGAAAGCGUGGGUAGCAAACAGGAUUAGAUACCCUAGUAGUC